AACGAACGCUGGCGGCAUGCCUAACACAUGCAAGUCGAACGAGACCUUCGGGUCUAGUGGCGCACGGGUGCGAAACGCGUGGGAACCUGCCCUUAGGUUCGGAAUAACUCCCCGAAAGGGGUGCUAAUACCGGAUAAUGUCUUCGGACCAAAGAUUUAUCGCCGUUGGAUGGGCCCGCGUUGGAUUAGCUAGUUGGUAGGGUAAAAGCCUACCAAGGCGACGAUCCAUAGCUGGUCUGAGAGGAUGAUCAGCCACACUGGGACUGAGACACGGCCCAGACUCCUACGGGAGGCAGCAGUGGGGAAUAUUGGACAAUGGGCGAAAGCCUGAUCCAGCAAUGCCGCGUGAGUGAUGAAGGCCUUAGGGUUGUAAAGCUCUUUUACCCGGGAUGAUAAUGACAGUACCGGGAGAAUAAGCCCCGGCUAACUCCGUG
rnacentral:rRNA from 1 species